AAAAACUUUUCACCACAUCCUCUUGGAUAGGACGGAACUGAUUGGGGGUUCUGCUGGUCACACUACCACCUCCAAUGUAUGUGGGUGAAGGAGCGGAUGUCAAUCUUAGGGGGAUCUCUAACAUGCUGCCUUGAGACCAUGGACUUUCUCAUGCCCUGUUCAACAUUUUACAGUCUUCUUGCUGUUGAUAUAACCUAGUAGCACAGACUGGGUAGUUUAUAGAGAUCUGAGGUUCAUUUGGCUCACAGUUCUGGAAGCUGGGAAGCUCCAAAACCUGGAGCUAGUGUCUGUUCAGCACCUGGCGAGGGCCUUCCUGCUGCAUCCUACAGCGAGAAAGCAUGUGUACUAGAUGGGACCUUUCUUCCCCUUUCUAAAGAGCCACGAAUACCAUCAUGGUGUCCCCACACUCGUGGCCUCAUCUAAUCCUAAUUACCUUCCAAAGGCUCCACCUCUAAUAUCAUCACCAUAUCAAUUUGGGAACUCUCCAGCAGGUGGAUUGGGAAGGAACAUUCUAACCAUCGCAAAUCAGAAGCCAUGCUUAUCAUUGUGGACCUUGUUCACAGUGAGGCCCAGGGACAGCAGACAACUAGCAUUGAUAUGUCAAAUUCUGUGUUCCUAAGGACUCUGGGUGAGCUAGAGCCAUGGCCAAAAUAGGCAUCUGCCUGAGAGGCAGUCUCUCCUGAAAGCAGAACACAGGGCUCUGGCAGAAUUUCCCUCCACAGUCCCAGGCCCUGGGGUGAAAGUACAAAUGCAGGCCAGCCAGGCACAGGCCCAAAUAUGUACAAGUCAUAAAUCAAGCUACCAAACAGCUUCAUAAAUUGUGUCCUAUCCUCCUGCCUUGAGAAGUAUACCUUAUUGUCAAGCCCAGGGUCAAAUUCAGAACUCUUAAGACUGCUUGAGUCUCAGUGCAACAACCUGAUCCAACAGGGCGAGCCAGCCAGUAGCCCCCUUCCCCCAGAGGUCAACACAUCUUUCCAUUUUGUAACCUAUUCCUGGACUUUUGGGCGACAUAUCGGCAGUUGCUUCCUCUUUCCUGCCUCACCAGUUAUGUCUGCCAUCAGUCCAUUUACCUGGCUCUGCCCUCCAGCUUCUCUCCAGUUCCUCAGUUUCUUCAGGCAAACACUGGUCUGGUGCCUACUUCUGGCACCGCCCCCUGGGAUGCGAAGAGAACCUGGUCAGUGGCUCCCUGCUUUCCAGCUCCCGGGUCUUCUGUGGUGAUCACCACCUCACCCCGACUACCCUCACCAAUCCGAGGCUCUUGACCUCGAUCAUAACCAGCCAAAGCCUACUUCUGCAGAUUUGGGGCAGCUGGAGUAGGAGGGAGUCUCACCCACUAGCAAUGCAUUUCUUUGAAUUCCAGUGUUUUUAUUUUUAGAGUUUUACAUGCUUUAAAAGAAAAGGUCUGAUCAUUGAAAUAUGAUUUAUGUAGAACACGAACUUCAAAAUGCAUUUAAAAAAUAAACAUUCAGCUUUGUGAAUUGUUAAAACAUAAGAAUAUAAGAUAAACAAAUGCCCCUGACCCCUGCCUUGUGCCUCGCUAUCUUCUCUCCAAAGGGAACAAACCACUCUUCU
rnacentral:lncRNA from 1 species